rnacentral:rRNA from 1 species
GUCUAUAGCCACAUUACUCUAAAUGCACCCAAUCUCAUCUGAUCUCGGAAGCUAAGCAGGGUUGGGCCUGGUUAGUACUUGGAUGGGAAAUCAUUCUAUGAAUGAUCUAGAUAAAAUUUUGUAUU